rnacentral:rRNA from 1 species
UACGUAGGGUGCAAGCGUUAAUCGGAAUUACUGGGCGUAAAGCGUGCGCAGGCGGCUUUGCAAGACAGAUGUGAAAUCCCCGGGCUUAACCUGGGAACUACAUUUGUGACUGCAUGGCUGGAGUGCGGCAGAGGGGGAUGGAAUUCCGCGUGUAGCAGUGAAAUGCGUAGAGAUGCGGAGGAACACCGAUGGCGAAGGCAGCCCCCUGGGCUAACACUGACGCUCAGGCACGAAAGCGUGGGGAGCAAACAGG